rnacentral:rRNA from 1 species
AUUGAACGCUGGCGGCAUGCCUUACACAUGCAAGUCGAACGGCAGCACGGGAGCAAUCCUGGUGGCGAGUGGCGAACGGGUGAGUAAUAUAUCGGAACGUGCCCAGUCGUGGGGAUAACGUAGCGAAAGCUACGCUAAUACCGCAUACGUUCUAUGGAUGAAAGCGGGGGAUCGCAAGACCUCGCGCGAUUGGAGCGGCCGAUAUCAGAUUAGGUAGUUGGUGAGGUAAAGGCUCACCAAGCCGACGAUCUGUAGCUGGUCUGAGAGGACGACCAGCCACACUGGGACUGAGACACGGCCCAGACUCCUACGGGAGGCAGCAGUGGGGAAUUUUGGGACAAUGGGCGCAAGCCUGAUCCAGCAAUGCCGCGUGCAGGAUGAAGGCCUCGG